rnacentral:rRNA from 1 species
UGGGGAAUAUUGCACAAUGGGCGCAAGCCUGAUGCAGCCAUGCCGCGUGUGUGAAGAAGGCCUUCGGGUUGUAAAGCACUUUCAGCGGGGAGGAAGGCGAUAAGGUUAAUAACCUUGUCGAUUGACGUUACCCGCAGAAGGAGCACCGGCUAACUCCGUGCCAGCAGCCGCGGUAAUACGGAGGGUGCAAGCGUUAAUCGGAAUUACUGGGCGUAAAGCGCACGCAGGCGGUCUGUCAAGUCGGAUGUGAAAUCCCCGGGCUUAACCUGGGAACUGCAUUCGAAACAGGCAGGCUAGAGUCUUGUAGAGGGGGGUAGAAUUCCAGGUGUAGCGGUGAAAUGCGUAGAGAUCUGGAGGAAUACCGGUGGCGAAGGCGGCCCCCUGGACAAAGACUGACGCUCAGGUGCGAAAGCGUGGGGAGCAAACAGG